rnacentral:hammerhead_ribozyme from 1 species
AUCCAGCUGACGAGUCCCAAAUAGGAGGAAGUGAGGGUCCUGGAU